ACCUACGCUGCUGAAAGCAAUGGAUCCAAAUCAAUUUGGUUUUGUGCCCAAUUCAUGUACUACUUUUGCUUUAAUUUCGAUGUUACAUCGCUGGUUGGAAAACACGAAUGGCACUGGUUCCGCGCGUCAGGGUUGCACUUCUGGAUUACAGAAAAGCAUUUGACUUAAUGGACCACAAUAUUUUAAUUGCCAAACUUUUUAGCCUUGGAGUCAAACCGACAGUUGUAAAUUGGAUUGCUG